AGUCCAGAGGUGCAAGAGCUCCGCAUACUGCUCAGUAACACGUGGACAAUCUAACCUAUGGAAGGGGAUAACCCCGGGAAACUGGGGAUAAUACCCUAUAGACUAUGGAUGCCUGGAAUGCUUUGUAGUCGAAAGGUCCGCCGCCAUAGGAUGGGUCUGCGGCCGAUUAGGUUGUUGUUGGGGUAACGGCCCAACAAGCCUGUAAUCGGUACGGGUUGUGGGAGCCAAGAGCCCCGGAGAUGGAUUCUGAGACACGAAUCCCAGGCCCUACGGGGCCGCAGCAGGCGCGAAAACUUUGCAAUGCGGGAAACCGUGACAGGGGAACUCCGAGUGCCCGUAAAAUCGGGCCUGUCCAUCAGUUUAAAUAACUGGUGAAGAAAGGGCCGGGCAAGACCGGUGCCAGCCGCCGCGGUAAUACCGGCGGCUCGAGUGGUGGCCACUAUUACUGGGCUUAAAGCGUUCGUAGCUGGUUUGUUAAGUCUCUGGGGAAAUCUUCCGGCUCAACCGGAAGGCGUCUCAGGGAUACUGGCAGACUAGGGACCGGGAGAGGUGAGGGGUACUCCAGGGUAGGAGUGAAAUCCUGUAAUCCUUGGGGGACCACCUGUGGCGAAGGCGCCUCACCAGAACGGCUCCGACAGUGAGGGACGAAAGCUGGGGGAGCAAACCGGAUUAGAUACCCGGGUAGUCCCAGCUGUAAACGAUGCGCCGUUAGGUGUAUCGGUGACCACGAGUUACCGAGGUGCCGAAGAGAAAUCGUGAAACCUCCCCCCUGGGAAGUACGGUCGCAAGGCUGAAACUUAAAGGAAUUGGCGGGGGAGCACCACAACAGGUGGAGCCUGCGGUUU
rnacentral:rRNA from 1 species